AUAUAUAAAAGCAUGUAUAGAUCUGAAUUUUAUUCUAGAACGAUUUUUAGUUCAUAUUUAUGUGAUAUGUAGAUGCAUGCAUAAAUCUAAAAUUUAAUUUGACAUAAUUUAUGAUUCAUAUAUGAGAUAUAUGAUUAUAUAUUUAGAUCAAAAAAUUAUUUUUGAUAUAAUUCAUGAUUUGUAUAUGGGAUAUAUGAUAUCAUAUUAUGAUC
rnacentral:lncRNA from 1 species